UUGGUUGCAGAAAAGGAAAAUUGUAAGGAAGCAGGGGUACAUUGCAGAACCCGAGGGCAGGAAUGCUAAGAGGUCUCGGGGAGGAAUAGAAUCGGGAACUGAAGGGCCAUGGAGACUCUUCUUUGUCUCAGCAUUUGUCAGUGAUUCUGUUUCACCCACAUGCUCUCUACAGCUUGGUUUCUCUGUCUCUCUGGCCCGCUGAAUGGAAUAUGCUCACUGCCUUCCUCUCUCCACGGCUCCCGAGUUCACUCCUCAUGCUUAUCCUCCCACAUUAAGAAACUUGCAGUCUCCCACUCCCAGCUCCAUAUUCCGAAGAAAGGGAUGCUGAUUGGCAUCUCCUGGCCAGGUGGCCUCCCCUGGUCCAAUCAAUCCAGGGGUGGUACAAACAUGCCAAUUUUCUCUGGGGAACCCUGAAUGAUGCAGCAUGGGAUACGUGGUUUUUUGUUUUUUGCUUUUUGUUUUCAUUUUACUCUGUUCCUUCACAGUGCAAUACAAGAGUCAACUCCUGUAAAUAAAACAAAUCUCCCAAUGGAGGUCAACUAUUCAGCAUGCCUAACGAUUUCUAGGUUUGCCUUAACUGAACGAAGUCUGAGCUCUUCAUUUUUGAUCGCCAGGGUGCGCGCUUGGUCCUCCAGGAGGGGCGCGGCUCCGUGGGAGCUUCGCGUCUGGGGAAGACGUAGCUGGCAGGCGCUGGCCCCUCGGAGGGGCUGUGCGAGCCUGGGGAGCGCAGGUGGGGCUGCGGAAAGAAGCUAGAAGCUGGAGCUGUCUGCUGCUGUCAGUCAUCUCCCAACAGGAGGACAUUGAAACUUCAUGAAGGACACAGGAUGGUUUGUUGUGCAGAAUGGCGCAGGGAUUUACAGGACAUCAAGCAUCUUUGGCCAGUGCCCACUAAACGCCAGUAGCACUGCCUCAGUCAUGAUGACAGCCGAAAAAUGCCCCCAUUCGUUUCCAAAAUUCCCCCCAGGAAGCAAUAUCAGCCAUGUUAAGAGCUGCUCUUCUACAAGUAAGUAGAUUCUUGAUGCCUCUGUUAAAUCUCACCACGAUAAUGCUAUGUAGCUUUGGCAGCCAUGAAAAAAACACCUUGCAGACUUAUGAGUCUAGUUGGCCAAUUAGCGUGCUCUGAAACCCACUGCCAAUUUUGUGCCAAGGCCAUGCUUCCCAUAGGUUUCUCCCAGCCAAUGGCUGCAUGUAGUGGGGAUACUAAGGCAGACCUGUUCCUGGGAGGCUCGAGACUCCUCUGACAGUUGACUUUGACUGAGCUUCCCCAUAGCCUUGUUGAACUUUCUUUAGACUGCAUGGCAGACAUUUCUACCCACCUUUCCUUCCCUCUUUCCUUCAUUUGGGUCAGACUUGCGUGGCCUUCUGACAGCUGUCCUAGCUCACAGUUGCCUCUCUAUUUUCUCUCCCAUUGGUAUUUCCUGAAUAAAAUCCUUGUACAUUUUAUUCCACCUUGGCAUCUGCUUCUUAGAGGAUCUGGACUAACACUGAACCACAAAACCUCCAUGGCACACAACCGUGGUGUUUAUCACUCUCAUUUCUGAGUGGCGGGGGUCAGGUGACUAGACAGCUCAGCUGACUGGCUGGAGAAGUCUGUCUGGUAGUUGAUCUAGGAUGACCUCUGCCAUGAUGACUGAGGACUCAGCUGUGCUCCACAUGUCUCAUAUUUCCCAGUAGGCAUGUGAUAGUGCUCACACAGGCACAAGAGGAAAGCUGCAUGUGUAAGCCUAUUUCAAACCUCUGCUUGCCUUGGGUCAGCUAUACCAAUUGGCUAAAGAAAACCAUACAGCUGAGCCCAGACUGAGUUAGAGGACCCUGAAAAGUAAGAUAACAAAAAGUCAGGAUACAGGAAGAGGUGAAGAAUGGGGCUAUUUUCAUAAUCUACCACCGUGUCCAUGCAUGUUCCCUAUUAGUAAAACACCAUUCUUUCUCAGUUUAUAAAAAAGUGUACCCUCUCUUACAAUUUUCUGUAACCACAUCAUUGCAGAGUAACUUGAUAGAGAGGAAGUCUGAAAUGCUGAGUACUUACCAACAGACUCUGAGUUAUCCACAUGAAGCUAUUUAAACUGGAGAAAAACUUCCAUUACAUUCACUGUCAAGUUAAAGUCAUCUUCUCCUCCCCUUGGUGACCUAGUGCUGUGACUGCCCAUGACAAAGAUUAGCUCAGCUACAGACAGCAAAUAAUCUACAUUUUCUUUGUGCAUUAUAGUGACUGGUUGAAUUUUCAAACCCCUUCCACACAAAAAUGGAGAAGUCUGGGCAUUAUUAUUUUUAAAAUACAUUUGAAUGAGGGGUGCCUGGGUG